CCAAAGUAAGCCAGACAAAUUAUUUUGGCACAUGAGAAAAAAAACCUCUUGCAGACUUCUGCCUUUCCUGGGAGUAAAAAUACAAUACUACAAAAGAAAUCACACACUGAGGGAGAAGAGAAGAGAAGGCUGUGUGUACAUGCAGCAACCAGUAUUUCCAUGAGGAUGGGCGAUGUUUGCCCACAAAGCACAGAAGAAGGAAAAUGAAGACUGACACACCUUUCUCUUCUUGUCCCUGACAAGCUGUUCCAGUUGGAAGUAGGAACAAGAAAAAGGGGAGGUGGUGCUCCUAGGAUGUGGUUCAUCACAAGGGUGUGGAUGCAAAUCCAUCCCCUAUAAAAAUCCACCACGCAGACAUGCCCUAAUAAAGGAGAACUUAAUUACA